rnacentral:rRNA from 1 species
GAUGAACGCUGGCGGCGUGCCUAAUACAUGCAAGUCGAGCGAACAGACGAGGAGCUUGCUCCUCUGACAUUAGCGGCGGACGGGUGAGUAACACGUGGAUAACCUACCUAUAAGACUGGGAUAACUUCGGGAAACCGGAGCUAAUACCGGAUAAUAUAUUGAACCGCAUGGUUCAAUAGUGAAAGACGGUUUUGCUGUCACUUAUAGAUGGAUCCGCGCCGCAUUAGCUAGUUGGUAAGGUAACAGCUUACCAAGGCAACGAUGCGUAGCCGACCUGAGAGGGUGAUCGGCCACACUGGAACUGAGACACGGUCCAGACUCCUACGGGAGGCAGCAGUAGGGAAUCUUCCGCAAUGGGCGAAAGCCUGACGGAGCAACGCCGCGUGAGUGAUGAAGGUCUUCGGAUCGUAAAACUCUGUUAUUAGGGAAGAACAAAUGUGUAAGUAACUAUGCACGUCUUGACGGUACCUAAUCAGAAAGCCACGGCUAACUACGUG